GCGCUGAUGGUUCAAAGGAAGAAUGCUCGCCUCCCACGCGCGGGAUCCGGGUUCGAUUCCCGGUCAAUGCA